rnacentral:rRNA from 1 species
CUACGGGUCGCUGCAGUAGGGAAUAUUGGACAAUGGGGGAAACCCUGAUCCAGCGAUGCCGCGUGUGUGAAGAAGGCCUUCGGGUUGUAAAGCACUUUUAAAGGUGAGGAAAUGCCAUAAUUGAAAAGAUUGUGGAGCUGACGUUAACUAUUGAAUAAGCACCGGCUAACUCUGUGCCAGCGGCCGCGGUAAUACAGAGGGUGCAAGCGUUAAUCGGAAUGACUGGGCGUAAAGCGCAUGUAGGCGGUAUGUUAAGUUAGUUGUGAAAUACUCGGGCUUAACCUGAGUGCUGCAUCUAAUACUGGCAUACUAGAGUUUAGCAGAGGGGAGCGGAAUUUCCGGUGUAGCGGUGAAAUGCGUAGAUAUCGGAAAGAACACCAGUGGCGAAGGCGGCUCUCUGGGCAUAAACUGACGCUGAGAUGCGAAAGCAUGGGGAGCAAACAGGAUUAGAUACCCGAGUAGUC